rnacentral:pre_miRNA from 1 species
AGGGGAAUCGCUGGGUCAAAUGGUGGCUCCAUUCCCAGCUUUCCAAGAAAUCUCUACUGCUUUCCAAAUUGGCUGCACCAAUUUGCAGUCCCACCAGCAAU